GACGAACGCUGGCGGCGUGCCUAAUACAUGCAAGUCGAGCGAGCGGAACCAACAGAUUUACUUCGGUAAUGACGUUGGGAAAGCGAGCGGCGGAUGGGUGAGUAACACGUGGGGAACCUGCCCCUAAGUCUGGGAUACCAUUUGGAAACAGGUGCUAAUACCGGAUAAUAAAGCAGAUCGCAUGAUCAGCUUUUGAAAGGCGGCGUAAGCUGUCGCUAAGGGAUGGCCCCGCGGUGCAUUAGCUAGUUGGUAAGGUAACGGCUUACCAAGGCGACGAUGCAUAACCGAGUUGAGCGGCUGAUCGGCCACAUUGGGACUGAGACACGGCCCAA
rnacentral:rRNA from 1 species